CCUACGGGUGGCAGCAGUGAGGAAUAUUGGUCAAUGGGCGCUAGCCUGAACCAGCCAAGUAGCGUGAAGGAUGACUGCCCUAUGGAUUGUAAACUUCUUUUAUAUGGGAAUAAAGUGCAGUAUGUAUACUGCUUUGCAUGUACCUUAUGAAUAAGGAUCGGCUAACUCCGUGCCAGCAGCCGCGGUAAUACGGAGGAUCCGAGCGUUAUCCGGAUUUAUUGGGUUUAAAGGGAGCGUAGGCGGGUUGUUAAGUCAGUUGGGAAAGUUUGGGGCUCAACCGUAAAAUUGCAGUUGAUACUGGCAGCCUUGAGUAGAGGAGAGGUAGGCGGAAUUCGUGGUGUAGCGGUGAAAUGCUUAGAUAUCACGAAGAACUCCGAUUGCGAAGGCAGCAUGUUGGACUGUAACUGACGCUGAUGCUCGAAAGUGUGGGUAUCAAACAGGAUUAGAUACCCCUGUAGUC
rnacentral:rRNA from 1 species